rnacentral:rRNA from 1 species
ACGGGAGGCAGCAGUGAGGAAUAUUGGUCAAUGGGCGGAAGCCUGAACCAGCCAAGUAGCGUGAGGGAUGACGGCCCUAUGGGUUGUAAACCUCUUUUGUCAGGGAAUAAAGUGCGGGACGUGUCCCGUUUUGUAUGUACCUGAAGAAUAAGGACCGGCUAAUUCCGUGCCAGCAGCCGCGGUAAUACGGAAGGUCCGGGCGUUAUCCGGAUUUAUUGGGUUUAAAGGGAGCGCAGGCUGUCGUUUAAGCAUGCUGUGAAAUGUAGGCGCUCAACGUCUGCACUGCAGCGUGAACUGGAUGACUUGAGUACGCGGGAAGUAGGCGGAAUUCGUCGUGUAGCGGUGAAAUGCUUAGAUAUGACGAAGAACUCCGAUUGCGAAGGCAGCUUACUGUAGCGCAACUGACGCUAAAGCUCGAAAGUGCGGGUAUCGAACAGGAUUAGAUACCCUGGUA